rnacentral:rRNA from 1 species
GCUUGUCUCAAAGAUUAAGCCAUGCAUGUCUAAGUAUAAACGAUUUUAUACGUGAAACUGCGAAUGGCUCAUUAUAUCAGUUAUAGUUUAUUUGAUGGUCUUUGCUACUUGGAUAACCGUAGUAAUUCUAGAGCUAAUACAUGCAUCAAUCCUCUAUUUGAGGUGUAUUUAUUAGAUUGUAACCAAAGCGGGGUAACCCGGUAUAUGGUGAUUCAUGAUAACUUUGCGAAUCGCAUAGCUUUUUAAUGCUGGCGAUGGGUCAUUCAAAUUUCUGCCCUAUCAACUUUCGACGGUAGGAUAGAGGCCUACUGUGGUGAUAACGGGUAACGAAGAAUAAGGGUUCGAUUUCGGAGAGGGAGCCUGAGAAACGGCUACCACAUCCAAGGAAGGCAGCAGG